UCCGGUUUGGCACCGGCAGUCUCUCUAGAGUCCCCGCCAUGACGCGCUGGCAACUAGAGACGAGGGUUGCGCUCGUUGCGGGACUUAACCCAACAUCUCACGACACGAGCUGACGACAGCCAUGCAGCACCUGUGCUAAGGCUCCGAAGAGGGCCCCCGGUUUCCCGGGGGUUUCCUUAGCAUGUCAAGCCCAGGUAAGGUUCUUCGCGUUGCGUCGAAUUAAACCACAUGCUCCACCGCUUGUGCGGGCCCCCGUCAAUUCCUUUGAGUUUCAGCCUUGCGGCCGUACUCCCCAGGCGGGGCACUUAAUGCGUUAGCGCCGGCACCCGGGGGGUCGCUCCCCCAAGCACCUAGUGCCCAUCGUUUACGGCGUGGACUAC
rnacentral:misc_RNA from 1 species